GACGAACGCUGGCGGCGUGCCUAAUACAUGCAAGUAGAACGCUGAAGGAGGAACUUGCUCUUCUGGAUGAUUUGCGAACGGGUGAGUAACGCGUAGGUAACCUGCCUGGUAGCGGGGGAUAACUAUUGGAAACGAUAGCUAAUACAGCAUAACAGUAGAUGUUGCAUGACAUUUACUUAAAAAGUGCAGUUUCAUCACUACCAAAUGGACCUGCGUUGUAUUAGCUAGUUGGUGGGGUAACGGCUCACCAAGGCGACGAUACAUAGCCGACCUGAGAGGGGGAUCGGCCAACCUGGGACUGAGACACGGCCCAGACUCCUACGGGAGGCAGCAGUAGGGAAACUUCGGCAAUGGACGGAAGUCUGACCGAGCAAAGCCGCGUGAGUGAAGAAGGUUCUCGGAUCGGAAAGCUCCGUUGUAAGAGAAGAAAGAGUGUGAGAGUGGAAAGUUCACACUGUGACGGUAUCUUACCAGAAAGGGACGGCUAACUACGUG
rnacentral:rRNA from 1 species